rnacentral:rRNA from 1 species
GAGGAGAGCUGAAGGUACUGUAUGAAUACGCACCGGCUAACUCCGUGCCAGCAGCCGCGGUAAUACGGAGGGUGCAAGCGUUAUCCGGAUUUAUUGGGUUUAAAGGGUCCGUAGGCGGGUUCGUAAGUCAGUGGUGAAAUCCUACAGCUUAACUGUAGAACUGCCAUUGAUACUGCGAGUCUUGAGUGUAGUUGAGGUAGCUGGAAUGAGUAGUGUAGCGGUGAAAUGCAUAGAUAUUACUCAGAACACCAAUUGCGAAGGCAGGUUACCAAGUUACAACUGACGCUGAUGGACGAAAGCGUGGGGAG